AGGAGCAGGGAGUCGGGCGGCGGCUCCAUUGUUCAGCAUUUAGCCAGUGUUUAUCUUCGUGGUGGAGACAUUGUAUCGUAACACAACCCUUCAAACAGAUAGUUCAGGGCGAUCCCAUCACAUUUGGUCAUUUCCCGACACCGCGGGAUGCUGUGGUGGUCAUCCCGGGCGUGUUGACCUGGGGGUCGCCGCCCCCCCUCCCCGGUCAACAACACGACGGAUUGUUGACUUGGGACAACAAUGACAGUGGCCGCCACUCACCAGCUUUAUCCGUCAGUAAACUUACGCGUCGGCUUACUAUAUUACAAGCACAAGCCUACAUGGUCGCUACAUCAGCAAGUAAGAGUGUUGCAGGAAGCAUAAACUCUGAGACAGCGUGUGCACUAUCUUUAAUAGACAACCUUGGAAUAUCACAAGCAAAUGACGCCAUCACAACAAUUAUCACUACCCAGUGCCCGUGGAAUAGUGAGACAGCAGCAACAACGUCAGACUUUGACCCAGCGUGACGCCCGAGGCCUCACACUGCUCACUAUACACCUCUUGCAGUCAUCUUGAGUACAUUACCCUCAUGCAAACGGCGUGCAUCGGUAAAAGAAUCCUGCAGUGUUUAUUUAGAGUCGAGGAGCACUAUUGCUGGGCCUUGACACCAGUAGAGAGGAUGUCUUAGUCGCCACUGUAGGGGACAAGAAACCCAUUAAUUGGUGAACAAACCUGUAAUUGGUGUUCACCAGGACGUGGCCCAGGCUAGCUGUUUACCUUCAUUAGGAUGCUACCCACAACAGCUUCCUACUCCCAGGUCUUCUUGAAGUGUGAAGUGUGUGCCCUGUGCUCUGCCUGGGAGUGUUGUACUGUCUAAAGCUCCCACUUGUGCAGCUUCCAGUAAUUGGUGGAUUCUGACUCCAUGGUCCUCGUCAUCACUUUGCUAAAAGGUAGUUAUCCAGACCUCUGCGAAACAAAUCCCUGGUUUUCCUGUUUCAAGACCAGGUGUAAACAAACAUUGCACUAACCCCCCCCGCCUAUCCUGUGUUGAGUGCAACCAAAGCAGUUACUGUGAUUUCAAAAGUGCAGGUGAAAUGACAUAGGAAUGACCUAGGAAGAUUCUGGUGCCCUCCUGAAGUGGAUAAGCAGUUUAAGUCUGUCCUUGGCACCUGGCCACAGUGCUUGUGAUGGAAGGGUGGUGGUGCAAUUGGAGAUUGGAAAAGCAAGGCAAAUGGAAACUGACAAUUGAAACACAGAUGAGUCAGAGAACCAUAAGGAAAUACUGUACUCAUAUUUAAAGCAAGUAUGCAAAAGCAUUAGAACAUCUAGAAGUAUGAGAGCUUCAGAUAGAAGCUAUGAGGUGAGGCCACUAAGCAAGAUUUUGCUCCUCAUAGGAAUAGGUAAGCAUGUCUACAGAAAAAAUAAUUUUAAAGAACAAAUAAUUUAUAAUACUGAUGUACAUAAAUGCAUCCAGGAUCUACUGUGUUAGCUAAAAACUACUUGUGUGGACUGUAAUCUAUCCUAUUCACAGUGCAUUGAAAUUAUCCUAUUUAUCACAGUGCACAGUAACAGCCCUAUUCACAGUGUCCUGGAAAACUAUUCUACACUUAGUAGCCGGGAUCCUAUCCUGUUCUUAGUGCCCUUCUUAUCUUGAGAU